GCUUCCGUUAAACGUGGUCCGGCUGCCUACAGAUCGUUGUCUUACAGUUUUCGUGAAAAAGUGGUAUUUUUUAAAUUUCCUGUGCCGCAAUUCGGCUUCGGAAUUGGUGUUGGAAUUCCAUAUGGUGGUUACGACGGGUACAGCGGAUACCAAGGAUACGACAGAUAUGGCGGUUACAAUGGAUACAGAAAUGGAUAUUAUCGACGGCGAAAGCCUUUCUUCGCACCUCCUGGAAUUGUGAUUGGAUGAGACAUUUCGUUUGAUAGUAAUUGCAGUGUUACUUUAAGUGGGGAUGAAAAGUGAAAGAGACAAUAAUAUAAUAACACAUGUGCUAACUGUGUUAACGAAACACACAUAACGUCAAAUCGAAGCACAUCGAAUAUGUUAAAUAAAUAUCAGCUCAAACAUAUUUUGAAUAAAGUUUAAUCCCAAGUGUUUCGAUUUUUUAUGUAA